CCAUCAACCCUGCGCCUAAGCUGGCCAUGACAGACGUAAACACAAGACAGACUUCACAUUUGUGGUGUUGAAUUACCACAAUUAUCUUCUCACAUCGCCUCUGUUACGCCACAUCGGGGACUCCAACGCUGACAUGUAUAUUCUCGAGGCAUUGAGGAGUGGAUUGAGGAUAAUAUAACAGCGGUGCAACGUGGAAAUAAAGAGCGUUGUAGUUGGUGAAGGUGAGGCAAGGAGGAAAUUACUGUGGGCUCAGUGAAGUGCAAACCUGAGUGUCGGCCGCCACCGCGCACCACACGGCCUGUCCUGUGCUGUGUGCCGCUGCCCCAGAGAGCUGCUGUUCCCGUGAAAGUGGACCGAGAACCAUGUGGUGCCUGACACAGCACGCCAGGCAGGGCACAGGGGCAGUGUGGAGGCAGAGCUGAACUGUGCGCUGGUGGCUGUCUGUCGGCUGCUCCUGGUGCCUCGGUCACCUCCCACUCGAUCUUCCCUUCCUGAAGGCUUCCUGGCCGACCCGUCCCUCCCUACUCCACGAGCUGGACAUAAGACAGUCCAGGCCGCCGCCCUGCUUGACACUGAACACCCCAGCCAGCUUCCUUGAGGGGCCCUGCAGGACAGAAUGUUUGUGCGUGUUGGACACAGCCAUGACUUGAAGCUGUCCUGGUGCACCUGUCUGUCUCCUGGCUGUCACUUUAGGACACCUGUCAUGCUUGGUGGCAGUGGCAGGAUCUGUGGUCCUCUAUGGCCUCCAGCUCCAAGUUCCCCAGUAUUCCAGGACUGAAUUAUCACCAGCCAGCCCUAAGUCAGUGAUACCUCAAGGAGUCUCCAGGGAAUACCCCAGCCACUGAUACCUCAGUCUCCGGAGAAAGACCACGGCUACUGUUACCUCAAAGAGUCUCCGGAGAAAGACCACGGCUACUGUUACCUCAAAGAGUCUCCGGAGAAAGACCACGGCUACUGUUACCUCAAAGAGUCUGCGGAGAAAGACCACAGCUACUGUUACCUCAAAGAGUCUCCGGAGAAAGACCACGGCUACUGUUACCUCAAAGAGUCUCCGGAGAAAGACCACGGCUACUGUUACCUCAAAGAGUCUCCGGAGAAAGACCACGGCUACUGUUACCUCAAAGAGUCUCCGGAGAAAAACCACGGCUACUGUUACCUCAAAGAGUCUCCGGAGAAAGACCACGGCUACUGUUACCUCAAAGAGUCUCUGGAGGAUUACAACAACUUAUUGUGAAAUUUUUUUUUCAAACAAAAACAAUACAACGUUUGAGAGAGUCCUCAGAAUUCUUUAACAGCUCACAGCAGCAUCACCAAGCCUGUCUCCCUUGUGCUUGUGUUGAGGCAAGUGUGGCAGGCAACUUACCACCUAUCAGAGACAGGCCAGGAGCAUCAGUCUUGUGAGGUCUUUCCCCCACCAUGCAGGCAGGGGAGAGACGAGUGACUGGUUACUCCUUCCAUCCCCCGCAGUAGUCGUGGUGGUGGUGGUGUGCCUGUGUCAUCAUCCACACCCCAGCAGCAUCUUGAAUGAAGGCCGUCCCCACACACACACACACACACACACACAGGAACGACCACCACAGCUCAGCGAGGUCUCGUUUCUACAACAGCAGCAGCAGUGGUGGUGGUAUUCUGGGGUUCCUCUACAACAGCAGCAGCAGCAGCAGUGGUGGUGGUGGUAUUCUGGGGUUCCUCAAGAUGGUGUCAUUCAUCACCACUACUGAUAGCUCAGGAAGGCGGCGUCUUGCUUCAUCCCUGGCAGUAGCAGUGGUGUGUGUCAUCCCUACCACCCUAUAUCAGUAGUGGUGGUGGUGGUGGUGGUGAUGAUGAUGGUGGUGUCCUGGGGGCAGUGCUGUGGUGACGGCUGGGUGUUGGAGGUGUAGGGUGGAUUGGAUGGAUGGAUGGAGCAGCCACGUCGUACAUCAGGCUUCAUCU